CGGGCGAUUUAUUUGUUCUCCUGUGACGGACAACAUCGGGAAACUGAUGGGAAAACGUCUAAGUUGCAGUUAAUUGAUUGUGACGUAAACGAAUUUGUGCAGGAGAGUAAGAUGCCAUCCUAUCAGUUAGUAAGUAGGGUAAGGGCCUACUUAGACGAAGACGGGUACGGGGAAUGAGGGUUUGAUUCCGGAGAGGGAGCCUGAGAGAUGGCUACCAGGACCAAGGUCAGCAGCAGGCGCGAAAAUUAUCGAAGCCCGCCUAGGGGCGAUAGUGAGGAGACGUGUAUAACGAAGUACGUGUAAAGAACGUGCUAAUAACUGGAGGUCAAGUCUGGUGCCAGCAGCCGCG
rnacentral:rRNA from 1 species